CUGACUGACCGAUAGUGAACCAGUACCGUGAGGGAAAGGCGAAAAGAACCCCGGCGAGGGGAGUGAAAAAGAACCUGAAACCGUGUACGUACAAGCAGUGGGAGCCCCACCACUAAGCCAGUGGUGAACUCCACAUCCGCAUCCUUUGCUGAGGAUACGGUUAACGGAGCGAAAGCGACGUUCAACCGCAAAACAAGCAGAGGGGGCUUAGUGGUGGGGUGACUGCGUACCUUUUGUAUAAUGGGUCAGCGACUUAUAUUCUGUAGCAAGGUUAACCGAAUAGGGGAGCCGGAGGGAAACCGAGUCUUAAUUGGGCGUUAAGUUGCAGGGUAUAGACCCGAAACCCGGUGAUCUAGCCAUGGGCAGGUUGAAGGUUGGGUAACACUAACUGGAGGACCGAACCGACUAAUGUUGAAAAAUUAGCGGAUGACCUGUGGCUGGGGGUGAAAGGCCAAUCAAACCGGGAGAUAGCUGGUUCUCCCCGAAAGCUAUUUAGGUAGCGCCUCGUGAAUUCAUCUCCGGGGGUAGAGCACUGUUUCGGCUAGGGGGCCAUCCCGGCUUACCAACCCGAUGCAAACUGCGAAUACCGGAGAAUGUUAUCACGGGAGACACACGGCGGGUGCUAACGUCCGUCGUGAAGAGGGAAACAACCCAGACCGCCAGCUAAGGUCCCAAAGUCAUGGUUAAGUGGGAAACGAUGUGGGAAGGCCCAGACAGCCAGGAUGUUGGCUUAGAAGCAGCCAUCAUUUAAAGAAAGCGUAAUAGCUCACUGGUCGAGUCGGCCUGCGCGGAAGAUGUAACGGGGCUAAACCAUGCACCGAAGCUGCGGCAGCGAACGUAUCACCCAAGACAACUUUACGGAGUUGACGAUUGACGGAGCGAAGCGACGUCAAAGCGUUCAUUAAAGUCGAGUUGGCUUAGGGAUACGUUCGUUGGGUAGGGGAGCGUUCUGUAAGCCUGUGAAGGUGUGUCGUGAGGCAUGCUGGAGGUAUCAGAAGUGCGAAUGCUGACAUAAGUAACGAUAAAGCGGGUGAAAAGCCCGCUCGCCGGAAGACCAAGGGUUCCUGUCCAACGUUAAUCGGGGCAGGGUGAGUCGACCCCUAAGGCGAGGCCGAAAGGCGUAGUCGAUGGGAAACGGGUUAAUAUUCCCGUACUUGGUGUUACUGCGAAGGGGGGACGGAGAAGGCUAUGUUGGCCGGGCGACGGUUGUCCCGGUUUAAGCGUGUAGGUGUGUGUUCCAGGUAAAUCCGGUUCACUUUAACAC
rnacentral:rRNA from 1 species